rnacentral:other from 14 species
CACAGGACGCUAGUUGUGAACAGGGUGUGAAGAGCCUAUUGAGCUACAUGAGAAUCCUCCGGCCCCUGAAUGCGGCUAAUCCCAACCACGGAGCAAGUGAUCGCAAACCAGUGAUUAGCUUGUCGUAACGCGCAAGUCUGUGGCGGAACCGACUACUUUGGGUGACCGUGUUUCCUUUUAUUUUUNUUCNUGGCUGCUUAUGGUGACAAUCAUAGAUUGUUAUCAUAAAGCGAAUUGGAUUGGCCAUCCGGUG